GACGAACGCUGGCGGCGUGCCUAAUACAUGCAAGUCGAGCGGACGAAUCGAAAGCUUGCUUUUGAUUCGUUAGCGGCGGACGGGUGAGUAACACGUGGGCAACCUGCCCUGUAGACGGGGAUAACACCGAGAAAUCGGUGCUAAUACCGGAUAACACGAAAUGUCGCAUGACGUUUCGUUGAAAGACGGCGCAAGCUGUCGCUACAGGAUGGGCCCGCGGCGCAUUAGCUAGUUGGUGAGGUACGGCUCACCAAGGCGACGAUGCGUAGCCGACCUGAGAGGGUGAUCGGCCACACUGGGACUGAGACACGGCCCAGACUCCUACGGGAGGCAGCAGUAGGGAAUCUUCCGCAAUGGACGAAAGUCUGACGGAGCAACGCCGCGUGAGCGAAGAAGGCCUUCGGGUCGUAAAGCUCUGUUGUUAGGGAAGAACAAGUAACGCAGUAACUGGCGUUACCGUGACGGUACCUAACGAGAAAGCCACGGCUAACUACGUG
rnacentral:rRNA from 1 species